AAGCCCAAGAUGCUUAACAUUUUUUACUGCACUUUCAUCUCUGCUGCAAUACAAACUCACUAUAAUGGUUUGACCUCCCAAAAAACCUGCAGUUGUGGCAGCCCUGGGGAAGAAGUGUGCCCAGGGGUUCCUUGGAGGGUAACAUGCAUGCCUCUCACUACUUAGUUUGUCCCACAUAAGGAUAUAAAACAUCGCUGUCCCCCGGGGGAGGGGAGGAUCUUCAGGUCCGUCGGCAUCCGUGUAUAUGAAGCACAGGGGACCCAUGAAGCGCAGGGCUGAUGCCGAAUCUUUCACUAAGCAUUUGUCUCCCUUAUCUCCAGCCCUGCUUCCUGAACAGGACGACAAUUCUUAAGCCACUUGUGCAUUUUGUUAGGGUUAGUUUAAUUAAAUCCAGAGAUGAUAAUCCACAAAUCCACUUACAGGCCAUGUGAAGGAGGAUGAGCCUGGGAGAGGCCAGCUCGAAUCUGUCGCGUGGCCCCGUGAAGGGACAGGGUUGCCUGAUGAGGAGAUUGGACUUUUGUAUGCUCUCAUAUGCCAAUUUAUUUUUUUGGGGGGGAGAUACACAGUAGAAGUUCUAAAUUUCUGUUCUCAUGCCCCGUGGUAGGUGUAAAGUUUCUAGAAUGUUCUUGUAGUAUAAUUGCUGUGGCUGGGUCUACAUGGGGAAUUGAGAGUCUCGAGCCACUAUGGGCUAUCACACCUGAGCAGGCAGAGGUGUUUUGCAUAUGCUGGGUGCUGGCUUGCCCUGGAAGCUCUGAGUGCUCAACUAUGUCAGUCCCUAACUGGUCUAUGGCUCCCAUCUUCCCCUUGCUCCUACAGAGCACAAACCACAGUGCAUGUCAAAGGGCAAGAGCUGCCACCUGUGGCCUCUGAGGGUGACAAUGGAUCUUAGCUUCAUGCUGUUGGCACUAUUGUGUCAACUGGUAUGCUCACUUAAGGAGAGGGCCAGGCGCUUGGAUUUAUUCCUGGAAUGGGAGACACCCCACCAUGCCUAGGACCUGGUCUUAUUCCUGCCAAAUUGUACAUCUGUUCCUUUUUUAGUCUCCAAGGCCAUCCCUGGUUCAGCCUGUUGCAAGGUUGUGGUCUUCUACACCCAGGUUUCCUUUCUAGACCUGCCUCCCCAAGAGAAAUCAUGACACUCCCUGCUCACAAGCCUUCCCAGGGACUGAAUUCCCUGCUGAGCAUCCUGUCCCUGGGCAGCAGCCACUGUGGCUCCCUGUGAUGGUUAAUCUUCCUUCCCUGUGACUGGAUUUAGAUCACCAUGGGAACACACUUCAGAGCAGUCGUUGAGGUAUUCCCAGCGGUCAGCUGGGGAGGGAGAGCCCGCCCUGUGUGCCAGGGCCCACUUAAAAGGAGAGGAUGAGCUGAGCCCCAGAGGGUCAUCUCUCCGCUUCCCAACUGUGGGUGCACUGUAAGCAGGGGCUUCAUGUUCCUGUUGCCAGGAUUUCCCACUGUGAUGGGCUGCACCCUCAGACUGUGAGCCACAAUACACCCUUCCUUAACCUGCUACCUGUCAGGUAGUUGUUCAAGGCAAGGAGGAAAGCACCUAACUCACAUUUCUUCCUCAGCCUUUGGAUGACCCCCAUCACUACUUCAGUUUCUUCUUAUCAAAUGCAUCCAGGUCAGGGUCUCUUGGGAUACAUGUGCCUGUCUCCUCUGUAAAAGUCCUAGGGUCACUUGCUGGGUACCGUGGUGCAUGUCUUUAAUUCCAGCACUUGGGAGACAGGUAGGCAGAUCUAUUAGUAUGAGGCUAGUCUGAUCUGUGUAGCAAAUGCCGAGGGGGGGGGUGCAUUUUCAGUGUCCCCAGCAAAGGAGAUAAAGUGAAGCACAAAACCUGGUUUAGCUCUGGACUGAAGAUGGCCUCUAGUCUUCUAGAUGAUGUGGGAGGUAGGGAUGGAUGGGGUGGGGAGCAUUCUUAGGGAGAGGAUGUGGUUCUCCUUGGGUGUCCCAUUGUACCUACCCUGGGUGGGGGGUCCUUUUGAUCUCUAGUAAAGCCUGGUGCGGCCCCUCCCUCCUCUGCAGAGCAGCAGGCAUCUGGGGUGCACCUGUGCCUGUGUUUGUGUGAAUCCAAGCCUCCUGUCUUCCUGCUGUGUCUGUCUGGGUAGUGAGGGGUGUUUAUAUACAGAAGCCUUGGAUUGUUUGGGUGUACUCUGGUGGUGUGAGUGUGCUGUCGGGGCCCAGCGCCUGCCUGCGACUACCAUUGUCUGCUUCUGCCUGCCACUGGGCCUGUGGGUCUGUGUGCCCAGCUGUCUGAAGGGUUGUGGAAACAUGUGGGGGGGUGCACUCAAGCCCACCAGCCCCUGCCCUUCUCCAUACUCUGCCUGCCAGACUGAGUUCUCAUCACCUAGCAACUGGGGACUCUAGUCAGUGGCAGCCUCUCAGACAAAAAAAAAAAAAAAAAAGGGUGGUUUCCUGAGGGGAGGGGGAGGGGAACACAGAGAAGUGGGGGAGGGGCAUUGUGGAAAUCCCAUGUCAGCUCAGCAGACCCCUUAUCUAUCUGCUGCUCUGUCUUCUGUGUAAACCCUUCCCCAUUUUGUCUUCCCAGGUAGGCAGAGGCUCGCUGAGGACCCGAGUCCUCAGGCAUGCUUACCCUUUCCACAGAAGCUGCUCCCACUAGCCGUGGAGCCUCUGUGGGCUUUCAUGAACCUCAUUUGGAAGUGAAGACAAAGAUGACAACAUGGGUGUGGACCACGGGGUAUCAUCUGGUUGGCCUUAGAGUAUAAGGCCUUAGACCCUCAGAUCCAGGCUGGUUUGGGAGCACAUUCAGGGGAGAGCAGGCGCAGAAGACUUGGGCUUGCCUUCUCUGGAAGCCAGUACCAGGCAGAGGAGGGCCAGUGCUCCCUGGAAUGGGAUAGAGACAACUUUGGUUCUCCAUCGCCAUGACUUUCUUCUGGGGCUCAAGUCUCCUCUCUGAUGUUCUCCUGCUCCACGGUGAUCCAAGCCAACAGUCUGGACUCAGGUCUAUUCUGGCUGUGCAUAGGAGCGCCCCUCCUGCCCUGUGCUCCUCAUGACUACCUUGUUUGGUUGGUGGUACUCAUUCCUCUCUGGGUGAUCUUAUUGCUCAGUGACUUCUUAGUUCUCUACCUCACCAGCAGAACAGCCCCAGGAUCUAAGAAUAACCAGACUCAUUUAGCACUUGCUGCGUGCCAAGCUCUGUGCCGAGUCCUUGGAGUGUUUCAGCUCACUCUACACUGAAGCAAGCACACAGCAGCGAGGAGGGAACAGCGACUCCAUUUUACACUGGGAGGCAGAAGGGCUGAGUGCCAGGCCCGUGGUUACAGAGGAUGCCUGACACCUAAUAUGUAAGAGUGGCCCUGAAAAUUUUCUAGAGAGAACGGAGGGGCACGGAAUCUCUGUACUAGUCAGAAAGGGUUUGGCUCCUUCCUGCCCACAGCCUUGCUGAAGCUUUUGUGGUUUGUUCGGCUGUGGAAUACCCAGCCCCUGCUGGCAGGGUGGCAGCUGAGGUUUGACUUUAAGGCUGCCGGGACUUACAGCUUCUCUUGCUCUCUGUGAGUAGUCUCACCCUGGAGAGGGCCUGCACUUGUGAACCCACAGAAAACAAGUGUGUGUUCUCCACCUUUUGUCAGCUCCAUGCUGAUGUCUGUCAGGACAAAGAAAUGUGAGCCAGCCCCAAGCUUGGGGUUACCACAGGCCUGUGUGAAACUGGCAGGGAGUGGGGGGGGGGGGGGAGUCAGUGUGCAGACGUCCAGUGUCUUGACAGUUUAUUCUCCCAAGCGUGACAUAUAAUGAGACAGAUUCAAGUCUUUGUUCCAGUCAGCCUCCGACAACUGGUGGGGAAGCCCCCAUGGCAGGACCCUCAGGAGUCUGUCUAAAGUUUACCACACCUAGAGGGAUUAAUCUCAUGGUUGUUUGAAUGUGAACUUCAGCUGUGUCAGAAUGGAAUCAAGUGUCCCUGAUGGACCUUUCUCCAAGGGAACAAGUUCCUGAUACUCUGAGUGAGCCCAGACCAUGGGCCUCCCCCGGGGGAAGCCAAGUGCUGAUCAUCUGGCUCUGAGGUGGACAGUGUUGGGAUGGAUUGCUGGGGUUGGAGAGGGUGGUACAGAGGACCACAGAGCUGCAAGCAGUUUUCCUGGGAUUGGAGGCUGUGAAGAGGAAGAGGAGGGGGGCCAGCACUUUUGAUCCAGAGUGACAGGGUAAUGCCUCUAAUCUGGCCAGGAUGCCCACAGACCUGGCCACCACCUCAGGGUAUCCCUUCCUAGUUCUUCAGUAAGUUUUUCCUACAGAGCAGACAGCCACAGGGGAGCCUAGGUGUUGGGCAACAUGGGAUGGGGUGGGGGAUGGGAAAGAUGUGCCUGGUGUGUGGAGCAGGGACACAGGGAGGGCCUUCUUCUUCACUGGCAGCCUUGUGCUUCCCACUCCCAAUUGCUUUCUCCGAAGGCACUUUUGAAACACUUUACGGGCACCUAAAUCUUUGUAGUGGGGUUGGCGUCUAGGAUAUCCUCCUGGAGAUGGGCCAGUGAUGCGGGUGUGAGACAGCAUUUUGAGUGGAAGUGGCAGCCAGCGAAGUGAAACCAGGGUGGAGCUGUCGGUUGAGCUCAUUCUGCCAGGGCCUGGCCAGAGCUUUGUGGGAAAUGGUAAGAUGGAGCUUGGCAAGGUCCGGCAAGGGGAAAAGCAAUAUGAGUCGAGCACUUAACCCAUUUACCCUUGUCCAUUCUGCAGAUACAGUCUCUCCAUCCUUAGGAUGCUGAAGGCUGAAUACCUGUUGUGUAUCUGUAGGGGCUGAUUAGGACAAACAUGCCUGGAGCCAGUUUCCAGGGGAAAAAGAGGCUGCAGAGUGGAACUGCCAGCAAGAGGUUAUUUAGGGGGGUGGGGGUGGGAUGUAGAGGUGAGCAGUCGAUCCCCAGGGACUCCCCUGAGUGUUCCUGCAGAUCUGUCCCUAAUUCUAGAUCUGUGAGCCCCAAACCAGCCAGGGCAGGCUCCUUCUGAUGCCUCCUCCUCCCUGAGAGGAAUGUGAACCAGUAGGGUGGCCAGCGUUGGUUGAAGCCCCUUCCUAAGUACCCAGUAGCAGCCAUCAACACUCCUAUCACCUUCAGCAGGAUCAGCUGCUCUUGGCCCUGAAGCAGGAGUCAGGGAUGUAUAACAGUGCCCCUACAACACAGCAUCCUUGAGGCCCCAUACCCUGCUGAUUCAAAACUGAGACUCUAAUUUAGUUUUCUCUCUAAAUUUCACUUGCAUUCUACCAAUGCUUGCUGUAGACAAGGGGACCAGAGGGGACCCUCAGCACAGUAUACUUGGGGACAACUUAAGACACCAUCCUUAUUGCCCCUGUACCCUUACCCCUCCAUACAGAACUGUAGCAGGGUCUCAUGGGCACCCCCUGGGAACAGCCACUCAUGGCUCCUUCUGCCCACAGCCUUCCCCCUGCCUGCUCCUGGCUCUCUGGUUUCUGCCUCAGAUGCUCCCCUCUCUUCUCCCUGGCUACACCCUGUCCUUCAGGACCUGUCCUAUCGGUUCCCUGCUGCCUGGGGAGCACCUGAGAUGCUAGCACUAUGGGAAGGGCGGGCGCUUGUCUUCCCUGCAUACUCUGUCAUCCCAGCACUUUGCCCAGUGCCUGGUGCAAGGGAGGGGUUGGGAGAAUGUGAGGUCAUGGAUGAGCUAAAAAAAGAUAUGAAUAUCCCUAACCUCAGGCAGGAAGAACUCAGAACUCAGGCCUGCCAAAGAUAGUCUGAGCUGUGGCUAUUUGAGGAGUGGUGACAUCGUCCCUUCAGCCUCUUAGGAAGGUGGAACAAAACUAAGUCAGUUUCUUCAAAGAAAUAAGCAGAGCAUGGAGUGAGCUGCCCUCUGCAUAAGAGGGACAGCUCAGAGUGUUUGGGAGGUGAGCUUAGGGAAGUCACGGUUGGCUUCUUCUGAGGCCAACUUGCUUUUCUGGUAGACACUGUCUCCCCAUAGGUGUCUAUGUCCUCCCUCCUCUUCACAAGGACACCAGCCAGUGGCUUGGGACCACCCCAAAGAAUCAUUUUAACUUCAUGUUCUCCUUAAAAUCUAUCUUUAAGCGAGGUGUGUGUGUGUGUGUGUGUGUGUGUGUGUGUGUGUAAUUCAUCACGUGGAUUUUGGGGUACAACUCAUCUGUAAAAUGAGGGACAGGUUGUCUCCAAAAGGGCUGACACUUCCCGCUCAUUGUUUUUGAGAAUCCUGGCAAUUACAACUCAAAGGCACGCUUUUAAAGAACGGGUGUGUGUUUUGAAUGUUACUCUAACAAGCCGGUUCUUUAAACACACUUCACACAAAUAACGCACCGUGACUGUGCCAAUCACAAGAUAAUCCCGAUUUUACUCACAAAGCGUUCAUUUAGCGCCUUGAGGGCUCUCGGAUCUGGCCGAGGGACAUGACUUUUAAGUUUUGGGAUGGGUAGCUUCUUCUCUCAUCUUAUCAUGCAUCUCCAUGUUCAAGAUGGAAUAGUCUAAGCCGCUGGCUUCUCAGGCUGGGCUCUGCGGGGCACACGGCUGCGGAACCCCUUGUUUCCUCCCCACAGCCCUCAAAGCCUUGCAUGGUGGGCGGGGAGCCAGGCCCUGCUUGGGUAGCAUCACCAUGGCAACCUCUCCCUGCUAGCUCCUCAUGGAGACCCGGGCAUCUGUGGCCAUGGAGACUGGUCCCCUCCACUGGCACAUCUGCAUAGCAACCAGAGAGGGUACGGAUUGCAGCUGGGCCCCCCGCUUCAGGAAGGCAGGUACUUCUCAGCACUCUGUAGGCCAUUAUGGAGAGGAGAGGAGAGGAGAGGAGCCCCCCACCCCCCUCCACAGGGAGAUGGACAAAGAACUCUGACAAAAGACUUGAAGCCAUGAGUGGCUAAUAAACCCAGAACAUUCCUAGCACAACCACAAGGUGCUUAAGAACAACUGUGUGAUUGGCAGGUGAGGAAAAGCCCAAGCUGAGGGCGGUGUGUGUGUGUGUGUGUGUGUGUGUGUGUAUGUGUGUGUGUGUGUGGUGGGGUGGGAUGUUGGGGGUGUGAGGGCUUGGGAGGUGUUUUGGGCCAUGUGCAGGGAAGGGGGCGUGGCUCUUGCUUCAGGGCUGAAGGCAGGUUUUAGUACAUUUUUGCUAGGUCAAUUUGGCAAUAUGUAUCAAAAAGCUUUUACAUGCUUGUGUCUUUUGAACCAUCAAUUCCAGACCUAGUAAUUUAUUCCAAGGUAGUAAUUAAGCAAGUAAAGAUUUAGCUAUGCGUCUGUUCCCUGUAGGGACAAUUAUAAUAGCAAAAGUUUAAAACAACCACGAGGUGGGGGGCUUAAAUCAUCUUUCUUUGUGUUCACACAAGGGAAGGCUGUGUAGUAUUAGAAUGCAGUAGAAGACCCUUGAGUGGUAUUUUCAACACUGUAAGAGCAGCAGGUUCUGACAGGUGGUCAGGGCACAGCAGUUCAGAGGGGACCCUCCCUACACCUUCAGACUUUAAUAUCCUCUGCACCCAAGGGUGAUAAAAAGGCUCAGAAUAUGACUUGACAUUCCCAGAGGGAACCUGAAGUUUCUAUGGGGGCAGUACAGGCCACACAGGGUACUGGGAUCCAGGCUGGCUUCUGACAUGCCACCAACUGUGUGAGAAACCCGUGCGUUGGGGAAAACCCUUUUCAGAGAGCUUGUAGUUUUCUCCAGUCACUGCUACACUGGUCAGCAUACCUCAGGCCACUGUCCUCAGGCCAGGACUGUGGUACGUGAUGGUGGCACGUGAUAGGCACUUUUUCUCCCUAAGUGACACAGAUAUUGGCCAGAUUAGACAUAAAGGCAGGUUUAUUAUUACGCAACAGCUCUCGGGUAGGUUCACCAAUCUCACAAGUGGAGGUCAGUGAGGUCACAGGUUCAGGUUAAAGCAAGGGGCUUUUAUAGAGUUUAGGUGAGUAUGAUGACGUACCAGCUAGGAGCUGGAAUUGUGUCCAUACAUGGUCAAAAACUGAGCCCCUCAGCAGGUACUCUUGGGUGAGUUGCUGGAAAUGGGGAGACCAGGAGUGGUGACAUGUUAGCCCGGAGUUUUCUCCAAGCAGACGGGGAAAUUUUCUCUGAGUGGGUGGGGUUGGUGGAAGGAGGGCAGACAGGCUUCCCAGCGUGUGCAGGGGAGAGCAGGGGUCCCAGCCUAAUAGUAUGAAGGACCACAGCUGUGAUCAGAGCAGCAUCUGAACCAGCAAAAACCUCAGGUUCGGCCUCACCCCACCCCUCAGCCUUUCUCUCUUCUGCUGCGAACUGAUGGGGAGGGGAAAGGGGGCAGAGCCCUUGGGGUGGGGGAUGUGCCUUAGUUUUGGCAAACUCUCCACUGAUUGGCCCUUAUUUUUUCCUCAUUUGUGUGCAUCUAGCCAAUCAGGGCUCAACCUGGGUCUAUAUAAACCCUGUGCACAGCAUCCUGUCAGACUUUGUAGACUACCUGUCAGAGGUGGGUUCCUCCUGCUCCUCCAGAGGCGUCUCCUGCUUCCAGUGGGCCAGCCUCUGGGGUUGGCUGCUUCUGCUUCUAAUCUGGUUGGCCACAGGUUUUUUCCUAAACUCAGAGCUGUAACCCUCGGUGUCCCUCUUGUUCAGCAUCCCACUGCGGGCCUGUUUCUCUGUUGGGUCUUCACCUCCCUGUGGUCACUAACAGCCCUCACCUGUUCAACCCUUGCCUACUUGUCUGCCUACUUCAUGUGUGGGGGAGGAGCAAGGUAAGAAUCCGGCUUGAAGAACUGGCUGUCACUGGUGCAGGGUGCCGUGAUCCAGCAGAGACCAGUGGGCCGCUAAGGAUUGAAAUAGUUUUCAAGGCCACAUAAAGUCCCAAUCUGGGAACACUAUUUGCAA